rnacentral:lncRNA from 1 species
CUACCUGCCCAGAGCUGAGAGUUGCGCCAUUUGCUGUAGACUAGGAGGAGUGUCAGGUCCAAGCGUGUUCUUACCGGGAGAGUAACAGAACUUUCUGCGCCGAACAGGAGAGAAACUUAAUACACUGGGGAAAAGUUAUUUUAAUUUUGGAAAGAUUCUCUUCAGAAAUACUACCAUCGUACUGAAAUUUGAUGGUGAGCCUUGUGACCAGUCUUUGAAUAUAACCUGGUUUCUGAAAAGUGCUGAUUGCUACAAUGAAGUCUACAAUUUCAAGGCAGAUGAAGUAGAGACAUACUUGGAAAAUCUCAAGGAAAAAAAAGGCUUGUCUGGGAGAUACCAAACAUCAUCAAAAGUAUUUCAGAACUGUAGUGAACUAUAUAAAGCACAGAGCUUUUCUGGGGAUCUUAUGCAUCGACUUCCUCUUUUAGGAGAAAAACAGGAGGCUAAGGAGAAUGCAACAAAUCUUACCUUUACUGGAGACAAAAUUGCAAUGCAUGAACCAUUGCAGACUUGGCAAGAUGCACCAUACAUUUUUAUUGUACA